rnacentral:rRNA from 1 species
AGCAGCCGCGGUAAUUCCAGCUCCAAUAGCGUAUAUUAAAGUUGUUGCAGUUAAAAAGCUCGUAGUUGAAUUUCGGGAUCAGUUCGCUGGUCGUGCCUCUGGUAUGUACUGGUGUUACUGGUUCCUCCCUUCUGACGAACUGUCAUGUCAUUUAUUUGGUGUGGCGGGGAAUCAGGACUGUUACUUUGAAAAAAUUAGAGUGUUUAAAGCAGGCUCGCGCUUGAAUACAUUAGCA